UAAAGAGAUAUGAAAUUAUGAACGUUUGUCAACAAAUUUUAGCUUUAGAUGCGAGAUUUAACGCGUACAGAGUGCAGACGAACCCACAACAUCGAACUUUGUAUAUACGAAGGAGAACUCAGCUGCUGAGAGAAAUUGCGAAGAAAAAUAUUGAUCACAGUGUUCGGCGUCACUACCUUCACUUGAGAAAGUUAAUUUUGAGCAAGCAAUAUGGCACCAUCUCAGAUCUUCUAUCCCUAAGGAGUAGAAGUACAAGUAUUCCUAGCAGGAUCAGUUCUGUUGAGCAAAGUUUUGAUUCCAUGCAAUUGGAUGAUCAUGGCACAACCAUCAAGACACACCAUCGUUACCAUAGCGGUGGAUCAUUUCAGUUUGUCCCUCCCCCUGAUGUACCCAUGACAAUACAUGAACACACGUCUCUGCAAGGUGUGGUACCCACCAAGAAGGCGGAGGCUAGUAGAAAAAUGGCUGGCGACAAAAGUUUGGGUGAGAACUAUGCAUUUAGUGGUAUGCAUCAUGUGUUUGAUCAACAUGCCGAGGCUGUUACAUCGAUAAAGUUUGCGCAUGAUGAGAAACAUCAACUGGCAUGCAGUUCAUCUGAUGGUACCAUAUCUGUAUGUCAUUUAAUACCAUCACCUCCGUCCGUCACAUGUUUUCUACGUGGUCAUAAAGCUGCUAUCAAAGAUUUUGACUGGUCAGUUGCAAAUGAUUUCAUUAUUUCUGCAUCUUUGGAUGGAACAUCACGACUCUGGAACCCAACCUCUGGUCAAUGUCUUCGAGAGUUUAAUGACCACUGGUUGUGUCCCGUUCUGUCCUGUCGUUUUCAACCCUUGAAUAACAACAUGAUUGUUACAGGAAAUCAGAAAGGUCAUAUUCAAGUCUACAACACGUCCACGGGAAAAUGCAUCAAGGGUGGUACUGGUCGUACAACAGGAGCAGUUUAUUCGCUAGCAUUUGAUUCUACUGGAACAAUUCUUUGGACAGGGGAUGAAAAGGGUGGUGUAUUGUCUUUUUGUUUCGACAUUGCUACCGGAAGGGUACAAAAGGGAAAACGGAUGGUGAUCGCGGAUGGUUGCGCAAUAACAUCAAUAUCGUAUCGAAGUUGGAUAAAUCGUGAAGCAAGAGAUCCCUCGCUGCUUGUUAAUGUUGCUAAUAACAACCUCUGUCUAUUCAGGGUUGUCAAUGAAGAGGGUGUCUUAAAGUUGAAAAGAUCAUUUAAUAUUCGUCACCAGUCUCUGGGUAUUCGCAGCUCGUUUUGCCCUCUCAUGUCAUUCAGACAAGGAGCAUGUGUUGUGAGUGGGAGUGAAGAUAUGGCGGUGUAUUUCUUUGAUGUUGAGAAGGCAGAGAAACCCUGCGUGAAUAAAUUGCUCGGCCAUUCAGCACCAGUUGUGGAUGUUUGCUGGAAUUAUGAUGAAAGUCUGUUAGCAUCUUGUGAUUCUGAGGGAACUGUUAUUGUAUGGAAAAGAGAACAGCAGAAAUAUAACAUGUAAAGAAACAAACGGCGGCGGUAAACUGGUCUGUUGAUAUGGUAGUAAUGGUGGUAAUUCAAUGACCAGAUUUCAAGAAUAUAAUCUUAACAUUAAUCCUAAUCCCUACCCAACUGCUAACCUCAAAGGAUUAAAUCAGGGAAGAGUGUAUUAUAUUCCACUAAUUCCAGACAUGGAGUUAUUAGAUGUGGAAACCAUAACAAACCACAUCACAAAACAAUCUUAGUUUGUGUGUAUACAAAGAUUUUCAAGAACAUGAAAGAGAUGUAAACGUGG
rnacentral:misc_RNA from 1 species